rnacentral:lncRNA from 1 species
CAGCUAUGAUCAUGACACUGCACUCCAGCCCAGGUAAUGGAGAGAGACACUGUCUCUAAAAAAAGUUUAAAGAUGUAAAACGAUAUCAAAGUACAUAAUACAAAGGACAUAACUUAAAAUGUUGAAAGUGGUAACAAGAUUUAUAAAUGAAACAGAGUCACCUGUACCACUCUCUAUUCCUACUUUGAGGGACAAACACUUUCAACUGAUUCUUUUCCUGGUAUUUUCCUUCACUUUUCUGUGUCCCUGGUUCUCAAAGUGGGGUCUCUAGAAUUUGGGAGAAAUGCAAAUUCUUAGACCCCACCCCAGAUAUACCGAAUCAGACUAUGAGGGUGGAGCCCAGCAGCCAAUGUUUAAACAAACCUGUCUCCAGAGAUUCUGCCUCACGACCCCCCAAAGUUCUGACUGUUCUGGGUGAGGUGUUUAUACAAUGACUUCCUCCUAUGGACUGUGAAGGCUUACCUUUCUUCCACCCUCUCCCCAGCCCCACAAUCCUGCCUUCUUAUCUUUUCAGCACAGCUAUAUGACCAAUUUUGAUGAUGUUAAAAUUCAGUGUUUGUUGUAAUUAUGUAAAUAUUUUCACAACUAUCAGUAUAUUUCAUGUUUUAUGUAACUUUUAUUUUCCCUGGACUGAAUAACUGCCUCAUUUUUUUGUUGUCGUGAUGGCUUAGUGGGUUUGUUGUUGUUGUUUUUUAGAAACGAAGUCUCAGUAUGUUGCCCAAGCUGGUCUUGAACUCCCGGUCUUAAGCGAUCUCCUUGCCUCAGCCUCCCGAGUACUUCUCAGUUUUCUAUACAAAUCUCUCAUCUAUCCCUAACCUCUCAGUGGAGAAACUCCAAGAUGAACCCCAAAGAUCUCCAUCUCCAGCUGUUCACACUCCUAUGUAAUCUCUAGCCCUUGGGUGUGGAAAGGACUUGUGACUUACUUUAACCAACAACAGAAUAUAGCAAAGAUGCCUAAGAACUGCAAAUGAGAAAUAAUUUUCUCACCUGGUCACAGCAUCUACCAAGAAUGGCGCUGGGGGAGAGAUCAGUGAGAUUCCAUCUUUAUUACCAUGUCCCUCCUUCCCUGUCAAAAGCAUUUCACAUCCCGCAAGUCCAUUAGACAUGGCACCACUCUGCUGUGGGAGAUACACACACAACUAAAUACAGGGUAACAAUACCUGCCUGGUCAGCACUUCAGCUCCAAAUCAAGCUUCACUAAUGACUAUGAGAUUAACGAAGAUGGUUUUGAUAAUUAUGACUGUUUGUUUUGUUUUUCUUAACUAUUCUUCAUCUGAGACUUUUACUUUUGUUUCUGCCAGCAUCCUGACAAACAUUUACAACCAGAAAGGGUAAGCCACUAGCUUGAAGCCAUUAAGUUAAGUUCAGUUAACAAGGCUUUGAUAACAACCCUCAUGUUUUUAAGGAAAAACAAAGAACCUAGUAAUCCUUUAGGCCUUACCCUGAAAGGGUAGCCAGAAGAAAAAUCACAAAUAACAUGAACUUACCGGAACAAUCCACCGGGGUGUGAUCAUGGAUGUGGAAGACACCUGAAAUAAUUUUAUAUGUAUGUAUUUACUUUUUGGAAAGACUGACUUAUUUUCAUACUUAUAAUACUUACUUACAUCUAUUAUGAAAUCCAUUCUAGGAGGGCAAUUCUUAAUUCUUAAUGGUGUUCCUUGAGCUGACAUGGACUUCUAAAUCCAAGACCCUUUUCUGUUAUACAACACAGAUGCUAUCCCUCACCACUUAAGAAAGUGUCAUAAUUUUGAGAAUCUCUUAUCUAAAAAUUUACCAUUCAAGAAUCUAUUACUACUUUCAGUUCACUUAAUAGGACUGCCCCUACCUCACACCCAGUAUUCAGUUUAACAUUUUAUUUUCUGAAAUUUCAGUUAAUUAAUUACAAAUAAUGAUAGCCUUCUUGGUAGCAGCCUGAACAAUGGAUUGUGACUAAUCCAAAUAAAGAGCAACAAGAAAGUACACAGAAAAAUAAUCUGUUUAGAUACAGAUCAUUCUCUAAUUAUCAUGUAUGCAUGAAGAAAGCGCAAUAAAAACACCCAUAUUGCUCCUGGUUCACAGGGCCUUUGAUACAUUAUUUUUAUAUGUUUAACUUUCUAUUAUAGGUCAUCUAUGUGUAGAAUUAUAAACUAAGGAAACCCACCCAUUUUACUAGUAAUUUAGACUAGUCCUUGCAUUGGUGGCCUUACAUACUCAUAAGAAAAAACUAAUGUAAGUCCAGGUAUUAGUAAAUUAGAUAACCACCAAAAGAAUAAAAACACAGGCUGGGCGCAGUGGCGCACGCCUGUAACCCCAGCAUUUUGAGAGGGCGAGGUGGGCAGAUCAUGAGGUCAAGAGAUCAAGACCAUCCUGGCCAACAUGGUGAAACCCUGCCUCUACUAAAAAUACAAAAAUUAGCUGGGCAUGGUGGCAUGCGCCUGUACUCCCAGCUACUCGGGAGGCCAAGGCAGGAGAAUCGCUUGGAGGCGGAGGUUGCAGUGAGCUGAGAUCACGCUACUCCUGGCAAAAAAGCAAGACUCCAUCUCAAAAAAAAAAAACCCACAAAAUCUGACUUUCCUACCAAUACUUUUUAGAUGCAUGUUAACAGCAGGAAAUAAGAGAGAAAAAAUAUCAUAAAUAAUAGUAAACAAAAAAUAGUUUGACAGACUUUUCCACACUUGCAGUUAAUUCUUAUCCUUGGUAAAGUCUUUGUUUAUUAAUCUAAGCUGGUCAUUCCCAACGGGUGGUUCCCAGACCACAUCUGCACCACCUGGGAACAUGUUAGAAACACAACUUUUCAGACCCCACCCAAGAUAUACCAAAAUUAGAAACUUGGAGGUGGGGCCCAGCAAUCUUGUGUGUUAACGUCCCCUCCAAGGGAUUCUGAUAUACACAAAAA